rnacentral:rRNA from 1 species
AGUGGGGAAUUUUGGACAAUGGGCGAAAGCCUGAUCCAGCCAUGCCGCGUGAGUGAAGAAGGCCUUCGGGUUGUAAAGCUCUUUUGUCCGGGAGGAAAUCCCGCAACCUAAUACGUUGCGGGGAUGACAGUACUGGAAGAAUAAGCACCGGCUAACUACGUGCCAGCAGCCGCGGUAAUACGUAGGGUGCAAGCGUUAAUCGGAAUUACUGGGCGUAAAGCGUGCGCAGGCGGUUUGAUAAGUCAGAUGUGAAAUCCCCGGGCUUAACCUGGGAACUGCGUUUGAAACUGUCAGGCUAGAGUACGUCAGAGGGGGGUGGAAUUCCACGUGUAGCAGUGAAAUGCGUAGAGAUGUGGAGGAACACCGAUGGCGAAGGCAGCCCCCUGGGAUGAUACUGACGCUCAUGCACGAAAGCGUGGGGAGCAAA